GAGGGUACAGCUCAGUGGUAGAGCACAUGCUUAGCAUGCACGAGGUUCUGGGUUCAAUCCCCAGUACCUCCA
rnacentral:tRNA from 1 species